AGGACAAACGCUGGCGGGGUGCAUGAGACAUGCAAGUCGAACGAGGUGCCAUCGGGCUUGCUCGAUGGUUACCUAGUGGCGGACGGCUGAGUAACGCGUAGGUGACCUACCCGGAAGUGGGGAAUAACUGCCCGAAAGGGUGGCUAAUACCGCAUGUGGUCGGCGAUUCGAUUCGCCGUCUAAAGGAGCAAUUCGCUUCCGGAGGGGCCUGCGUCCGAUUAGCUAGUUGGUGGGGUAACGGCUCACCAAGGCGACGAUCGGUAGCUGGUCUGAGAGGAUGAUCAGCCAGACUGGGGACUGAGAACGGCCCAGACUCCUACGGGAGGCAGCAGUCGGGAAUUUUGCUCAAUGGGCGCAAGCCUGAAGCAGCAACGCCGCGUGAGGGAUGAAGGCCUUCGGUUGUAAACCUCUUUAUCAGGGAAGAUUAUGACGGUACCUGAUGAAUAAGCCACGGCUAACUACGUGCCAGCAGCCGC
rnacentral:rRNA from 1 species